rnacentral:ncRNA from 1 species
AAACGUGGAUAGAUUUGAGCUGCUUGCAACCACAAUAAAAAAAUGCUAAAA